rnacentral:rRNA from 1 species
AUGGAAGCAGAACUCACAGCAUUAGACACUACCACUGUUGAAGCAGAGUGGCUUCGUGAACUCUUGAUGGACUUACCUAUGGUUGAAAAACCAAUACCCCCUAUCCUGAUGAACUAUGAUAAUCAAACUGUGAUUGUCAAGAUAAACAGUUCGAAGGACAAUAUGAAGUCCUCAAGACAUGUGAAGAGGAGACAAAAAUCUGUCAGAAAAUUGAGGAACUCCGGAGUUAUUACGUUGGAUUAUAUCCAAACAUCGAAAAACAUGACAGAUCCCUUCACAAAGGGUCUAUCACAUAAUGUGAUAGAUAAUGCAUCGAUGGAGAUGGGUUUGAGACCCACCGCAUGA